AGAGCGAACGCUGGCGGCAGGCUUAACACAUGCAAGUCGAGCGGGCGUAGCAAUACGUCAGCGGCAGACGGGUGAGUAACACGUGGGAACGUACCUUUUGGUUCGGAACAACACAGGGAAACUUGUGCUAAUACCGAAUAAGCCCUUACGGGGAAAGAUUUAUCGCCGAAAGAUCGGCCCGCGUCUGAUUAGCUAGUUGGUGAGGUAAUGGCUCACCAAGGCGACGAUCAGUAGCUGGUCUGAGAGGAUGAUCAGCCACAUUGGGACUGAGACACGGCCCAAACUCCUACGGGAGGCAGCAGUGGGGAAUAUUGGACAAUGGGGGCAACCCUGAUCCAGCCAUGCCGCGUGAGUGAUGAAGGCCCUAGGGUUGUAAAGCUCUUUUGUGCGGGAAGAUAAUGACGGUACCGCAAGAAUAAGCCCGGCUAACUCGUGCCAGCAGCCGC
rnacentral:rRNA from 1 species